rnacentral:lncRNA from 1 species
UAGCAUGUAAAUAGUACUUCAAACCAUGGCAGUGCGAGUAGAGAGCAGUGAUAAGAGAAGAGGAUGCAGGAUGGGCCCUAAGGUCAGGUGAAGUCCACAUGAGGCACUGUUAAUCUGUCAUACUGGAGGAAGUGCUACCUGAAAGGAUGGGAAAAGCUUAAGAAGCUGAGAAGCGGCGGCUGGGAAAUAGGAGGAACAGUAUUAAUGUAGUGGCUCACAGACACUUGGUGAGGUGGUAGAGGUUUCAGUAGAUUAGUGUGGGUUAAAGUUUGAGGUGAAAGGUAAGGAAGUAGAGACCAAGAAUGUAGAUCUUUUUUCAGAAGUUU